AUACGGAGGAUCCAAGCGUUAUCCGGAUUUAUUGGGUUUAAAGGGUGCGCAGGCGGCCAUUUAAGUCAGCGGUUAAAUCGUGGGGCUCACACCCAUUCUGCCGUUGAUACUGGGUGGCUUGAUUGCGGUCGAGGUUGGCGGAAUUCGUUGUGUAGCGGUGAAAUGCAUAGAUAUGACGAAGAACACCGAUUGCGUAGGCAGCUGACCAGACCGCAAAUGACGCUCAUGCACGAAAGUGCGGGGAUCGAACAGGAUUAGAUACCCUGGUAGUCCGCACAGUAAACGAUGAAUACUUGUUUUCGGCGAUAUAAUGUCGGAGGCAAAGCGAAAGCGAUAAGUAUUCCACCUGGGGAGUACGCCGGCAACGGUGAAACUCAAAUGAAUUGGCGGGG
rnacentral:rRNA from 1 species